AGUGUAAACUGUCUGCAGUCCCCAUGCUCUCCAAAAUCAAUCUCGGAGAGCAAGGCAGUGUUUUGCUGAGAUUAAGCAGAUUUGCAAAUUAGGAAGAUUAAAUGGAAAUGUAAUGAAAUGAAAAUUAAAUGUCCUUCUAUUUUUUUUAUUAUUAUUUUUUAUUUUUAUUAUUUUUUUGAGAGAGAGAGAGAGACAGAGACAGAGACAGAGAGGAAGGAAGGAAAAAAAAAGGAAAAAUCGCCCUUUCCUGGGAGGUGUCUUUUGAGUGAUCCCCCAAAACGCCUUUCCCGGAGCAGCUCCCUGUCAAACUACACGCGCUCCCGUCCGGAGGGACUGAAAAGUGAUUCAAACUCUCCGGGAAGCACAGACAUUUUUAAUUCCAUCUGAUGCAGCAGCUCGGAAAGCAGCGAGAUCAGCCACCGGGGCUGCAAAGGAGGCUCUCUGCCUCCUCAAAUCCCCCAAAAGCAGAGCGGUUUUACUCAUCAAGGAAACAGCCGAGAAAAAGAAGGAUCGGAGGCACUCACCAGAGCGUAGACCGAGCUCAGCACGGAGCAGCAGAGGAUCAAACCCAGGCUGUGAUAAACCAGAUAUGAUCCCAUAUCCAAGGGGCUCCUUCCAGCAUCCACGCUCUCUCGGGGAAGUUGGAGGACGGAGAGGUCUUCCAGCGCUCCGCUUGCAGAUGAUUUCUCCUUCCCUCCCUCCAACCUCCCCCCCCCUCCACCUCACUCUCCAGAACCGGUGUUUGUUUGUUUGUCUGUUUGUUUGUUUGUUUGUUUUAGCCGGAAAGGCACAUGACGAGAAAGCCCGGUCCUUUGCUUCGCUUUCUCAUGGCUGGAGAUGCGGGCAGCUCCCGAAAGGCAGCGGAGGAGCCCAUGCGAAGAAGCGGAGCGACUUCGGCUUCGCUCAGCGCCGCAGCCCCCGGUGCUGGUUGUUUUCCGCGUGCAUCUGUCUCAGAGCAGAAAAAUCACAUCCAUAUGUCAAAGCCGCGCUCUUCUGUUUCCUUUUUAUGAGGCAGUGGGAAGUUCAAAUAAUUUCUUUGUCAAACGCAAACACACAGAAAGAGGCAGAGAGGGAGGGAGGGAGGGAGAAAGGCGAGAGAGGGGUGGAAGGGGUGGGAGAUCGGAGAGGGUGGGGGAGGCUUUAAACCACGGCUUUAUUUUUAGAUCCAGUAAUUUUAUCUUUUGGGUUUCGGAGGGGUUUGGAAAGAAAGAGAGAGAGGAAAAAAAAAAAAAAAAAAGCCUUUUUUUUCUUUUAAUUCUUCUUUUUCUCCACUUUCGCCACACGAACGGCUCUCAGAGCAGAAAGUUACGGGGAAAAAAAAAUAGCGAAAACUUGGAGAUAUUUUCCCUCCUCAUUUACUUUUUCUUCGCAAACAGCGGUGCUUUUGGGGGGGACCUUUUCCUCCUUUUUUUUUUUUUUUUUUUCCUUGCUGGUGUAUCGCCGCGCGUUUCGCCUCCACAAUAGGUUUAUUCUCCAGCCCUCCGGGUCGAAGUGUGUUUCAGUUACAAAUCGGGAUUUUUUCGCUCCUCUCUCCCCUCUCUGCCUCAGAGGAUCUGCAGUUUCAAAAAGCCGAUUGAACACGGCGUGAAAGCGUGAGGCUGACGACUCCCCCGCCUCCUACCGCCACUCUCUCUAGUCCUCGUUCCGUGCCCCGCAAGGAGGAGCCCCCCGCGGAGCCCCCGGCGCAUCGCAUCCCCGCUUUCCCCCCCUCAUGUCCCCAGCACCUCGCACCCCUCGUGGAUGUCACCAGCAUCGCAGUUUCAAGGCUGGGGAUGGUGCUCCCAGCUCAGCCGGGCGCUUUCAUUCAUAAAAUGACAAGAUUGUAUCCAUGAAUGUGUGUAUAAUGAACCCAGAAGGAAUGCAGCACUAAAAGAAGCCUUUGUAAUGUUGCUAUUUUAAGGAGACCCUUGGGUAUGGCACGUGUUGAACUGAGUUUCUCCAACAUCUUACAACAAACCAAAAUGUUUAGAUCCUCCUACUGAUGUAAGACAGCAUAAAAAAAAUACAUAAUCAAUCUAAACUGGCUAAGGUUUUGACCAGGAAUUAUUGCUCCUGUGAAUUGGCUCUGUAUUGUAGCUAACUUUUACACGGCCUAAUAAUAAACAUCUCCUCCUCCCAGCUGGGUGAAUGUUUCCCCUCUGCUGGAGAUCAGGUCCCAGCCUGGAUAAAACACCUCUUGUCCUUUCUCUCCUCGGUCACUCAGGUUCAGUGAAACAUCAUGACUUACAUCAGCCAAAGCCUUUGAUCAGGGAGGGAAAGGUCUGACAUGGAUGGGGUUGGCAGCCACGCUGCAAGAAUCCCUCAUUGUGCAAGAAGCCAGUCCAAUGACCGACUGUCACCAAGGGCCGAUGCUUUGGACCCAGAAAGACACAAGUGGGAUGGAGAUCAGAGCCCUGGGCUUUUCCCCGCAGACCAGCAACUGGUGCCAUUUCUGGCUGAUUCUCUACUUUUCUCUUCCUAGUGAGGGUCUUUUGUUAUUUAUCAGCUCCUUUCAAAGCAACAACCUAAGAGAUUUCACAAUACUUUUCACAUAUGGUUACUCAGCCUGGGGCUCUCCACAGCUUAGCUGUUUCAGUGAUAUUUGCACAGCACUGAGCAACAGCAUUCCUGACCUGCAGGAGAAGUGAGUGCCUCAAACCUCCUUUUCUCCAUAUACACAAGAUCUUUUUUUGCUCUUAAAAAACCCCAGACCCCUCUCCCCAUCCCUGCCAGUUGCACGGCAGACUGGAUGUCCUUGGCAGCACACUUGGGCUUGCAUCCAUUUUUCUUCUUUGUGUGUGUGUGUGUUGUCAUCCAAUGCAUGGCCAGAACCAAAGGCAAACUCGUGUGUGUGUUGUCAUCCAAUGCAUGGCCAGAACCAAAGGCAAACUCCAUUUGGGAGGUGAGCAAGGAAAACCCCUCCAAAACAGCCAGGAGCUGAAAAGAUUUGGCAAGCUUUGCAGGAGAAAACUGCCAGCAGGGAAAGACGAGGUGGAGGCAUUACUCUGACAGAAGAAGCUCUGAUUAGCAGAUUAUCACUUAAGUGAUGUUGAUCCCAGCCACGCUGCCUUCCAAAUGAGCCCUUUCACAGCUGCCAGCUGCACCACGGAGUCGUGAAUGUAAAUGAGUGGGCCAGAUCCUCUGCUGGCAUCCAUCGACGUGGCUUUGAUGGACCGUCCUGGAUCUACAACAGCCGGAGGAGUGUGGCUGUCAUGGGAGCCUGACUUGCUAUGCAGAUUUCUUUGAGAGCCUGUGGGAAAGGGCCUGAAGCUGGAUGUACUGCAGGAUAGGGCAGCAUCAACUGCACAGCUGGAGGGACCCUUGAGACUUUGACUUUUGCUGCCAAACAAAGCCAUCUUUUUGCUGAGCUUGUAAACUGUUCCCUGGUACCGUACGCCAGCAUAUAGCAUCCUGCCCUCAUAAAGCUCUACUUAUCUCCAUCCAACUUCUUGGGCUGAGCGUGUGGGAAGCAUGUGAGGGACACUCAUGAGCAGCCUCGCAUUCUCCGAGCUGUGCUUUCCCCUGGGGGUGAGCAUUCCCCUAAGUGCACAGUCCAUUUCAGCUCUGAUAAGUCUUCAGAGGUGAUGGCCUGAAACCUGCAGAGCUGGUGGUGAGAAGGCAUACUUGACCUCUGGCCACGUCCAUCCAAUCUGACAGACUGGUCUUCGGAGAAUGGUGACCAAGAAUAAGCUCCAUGUCCCACAUGCCACCUGUUCAUCUGCACCGCUCCCUCUCCAGCAGCUCAUGGGCCGUGCCCAGCCUAUGUGUGACACCUCUCUGGCUGCUCAGAUGGAAAGUAAGAGCUUGGAGAGUGAGGACAGCAUGGAGUUAUGGAAGACAUGGCUACAAGACCAUUCUUUCUCCAUCUCCAUGUGCUUCUGAAGGACCAGUCUGAUUCUGGCUCCUGCCAACUUAGGAUAUGCUAUGAUUCUGUGAACACUUUUUGCAGCAAGUCAGCCAUAAGAAACAACAUACUCUCAGACAAUCAAGCCUCCAAAUUAAGAUGGGGAGCCUUGUUGUGAAGGAGAUGGGUUUUUUUUUCCUACUGUAGAAGGGAUGUUCAAUGCUAUAGUGACAAGGAACAAUUCUUCAGCCUUAGACAGCAGAAAGAAGAAACAUAAAGAGACUGUACAGUUCUUGGGACACCGAGACAACUAUCUACGUGCUUUGUGGAAGCAGAGACAAGUAUGAGAUUUGGCUUUCUGGGCUAUGAGGGCACACAGCUGGCUCACAUCCAGCUCCCAUCCACCAUUUAGAUAAGAUACUAUUGCUUUUAAUAAAGACAAGUCAAAGAUCUUCUCCUAAGUGCUCUUAAAGAACUCCAGCAUUGUGUCUACAAUAAUCCAUCCGCCUUAAAGGAUCCAGCAGUACAUCACCACCAGUGGAUAUAAGAAGUAAUUAGUCAUCAUUUAGGGAAGUAAGAUUUAACAGUUAUUUUGUUGGCAGAAGUGCCGUGAUAAAAAUGGUACUCUGAAAGUUAUUUGGUAUUUCUCAUUGUUGCCAGAGUUCUGAACAUUUUGAUAGGAUGAAAAUAGACUUCGGUAGGAAAGUUGUGGAUUUUUUCCCCUCCAUUUAGUAGAAAUAUAAAUGUUACAAAAUAAAUAAUGAUAGAAUAUAUGUGUAUAUAUUUUCAAUGCAUAUUUUAAAAUGCAUAUGAAAUGCAUUUUUUAAAAUAUUUUGUUCAAAUAUUUUUACUAAUGUUGUAUACCUUGCAUCUGUGAAGUGGGUUAUCCCUUAAACAUCCUUUCUUCAGACAGUACUGGGAUUCAUCCUCAGGCCCCGUUAUCUUGCUCUACGUUUCCUAGAGUCCAUCUAUAUAAUAAAUGAGAAUACUGCAUGGUUA